UUUAUCUCUACCAAUUCGCGCUCACAUUUUCUCUCUCAAGUUAACCUACUCACGCUAUCCGGUUCCUUACUCCACCGCAUCUCCACCGUUUUCCACCGGAUCUCCGUGGUUCCUCACCAGGUGAACCGAUUACAAUAAAGUUUGGUUAGGUGAUGGUUCGUCUUUGGUUGUGAUAAGUGGCAAGAAUGGGCUGGUUUGGCGUUUUCGAAUCUAUGGUGGUGUUUGGUGGCAUAUUUCCCGAAGGGCAGUUUGGGAUGAAGGCAACAGUGGGAAUGAGCAGGUCAAUUGUGGUCAAAGUUGGCUAGAGGGUCUUUUACGACCAUCGAGACCAUCAAAAAGAUUUUGAACGGAGAAGAAUUAGGUUGCUUGCUUUGUACUUGGCUAUUAUUGUCCACUGGUGCGGAUGGCAUUAUCAAGUCAUCAAAGUCGAUUGCGCAUGGAAAGGACCUGCAAAAACUAAAAAGUUUAAGGUCCAACACGCUGGAGCUUGAGGUUCCUAUGUCUACCGCGGCUAAGCUGCUUUUAAAGCUGGAUAGUAUGGUGGAAAUUACUGAAAGACAAAACAUAAAAUACACAAGGGAUUAAGAAGAUGGAGAGACAUCAAAAAGUAAUGGUAGGGAGAUUUCCUAGAUUCUUUGAGAUGUCACAACUAUAUCUACCAAACCCGCUUCUUCUUGAGCUAAUUCUUAAUGUCUUCCGAAAUGCCUUUCAAGAACAAUUACCCUCUCAUGCCCCAUGAGAUGUGCACGAUACGAAAGUCUUGAUGUGGAGUGGAAGGGUUAUAACUUUCAUGAUAGCAACAAAUUUGUUGUACUUUGUAUUUAGUUAAACAUUUAUAUGGUUUUGAAAUUGCAAUUGUUAUUUUUUAUGUUCAGGUACAUUUGUUUGUCUAUACAGUAAAGCCAUUUCACAUGCCAAGCCAAUGUAACCGACAUUGAAAGAGCUUGGUGUUGGGAAUUUCGGAGUCGCAAGGUUGAUUUGCUGGGAAAGCCACUGGUUUUUCAACCCACCGAUUUUUUAAGUAGACCAUUGGGUUGAAUAUAGUGAAUUGGCUAAUGCGGCGACACUAAGGAGUAAAUGCAGGGAACAACUAUGAAGUGGGGAAUAGAUCGCUAAGAAAGAGUUAACACAAUGAAUAUUUUACUCGAAUGAAGAUUGUGAAAGAGAUUAAUGAACGCAAUGGAGUUUUGAGUUUUUGUUCAAACAUUUU